CCUUAUCCCUAUAUCUAAGUCUUUCGUAUCUCUCCUAAAAUUAUUCUUAUUCUAAAUUUCUCUCCAAAAUUCCCCAAACAUUACUUUUCCUCAUAAAUUAUCUUUGCAUAGUUCUGUCCUGUUUUGGAUGCAACUGAAAAAGAGUAAGUGACACAUCACAAGAAUGGAGAUAAUGAUUUGGCUUAACAUUAUUUCCGGCAACUAAAAAGAUCAGCAAACGCAUUACAUGUUGCUUCUGUGGAAAUCAUCAAAUCCGAUAUUUUCCUUUAGAUCGAAAAAAAGGAAGGGUCACUUAAAAAUGUGAUGGCUUAAAAGAGCUGAGAUUGCGCUUUGCGGAGGACGGUGUUCUUAAGUGACCGGAAAACAGGAUAUACGAUCUUUUAACUUGUAUUUUCUAAGGAAAUGUCCAGUCUAACCUUUUUAGUAUUUUGUAAUGUAAUUACAUUUUUGUUCCAUCAAUGUAUUUUAGUGAAAUGAAAUAAAUUAUAUUUGUAUUUCUA